UUCCUUCUCUUCUCUUUUUCUGUGAGUUUUUCUUUUAAUUCUUCACCACCCGACUCCCCUUUCAGACACCAUUUUUAAUGUUUUUAUUCUUUUCUUUAUCAGGUUAAUCCUCGAGAUGUAAAUGGUCGAACACCGCUGCACUGGGCCUGUUAUCGGGGACACUUGCACACUGUCAAUCUUUUGUUGGGUCACAAUGGCAUCGAUGCCAAUGUGGUUGCCAACGAUGGAGACACACCACUGCAUUGGGCAGUUCAGGAGCGAAACAAUGAAUUGGUGUCUGUGAUGCUGAACAAGGGUUCUGUUCAGUUGGAUAUUCAAAACAAUCAGAAAAGGACACCAUUGCUUGAAGCCGUUUCCCAGGGUCACCUCGGAAUGACACACUGUUAAUAGCCCUGGGUGCAGACAUAAAUGCUGUUGAUGGUGAAGGUAACAGCUGUUUGCACCUAGCCAUGGCAACAGAAGUGUUUAAUUCCGAGGA